UACGUAGGUGGCAAGCGUUGUCCGGAUUUACUGGGCGUAAAGGGCGUGCAGGCGGUUUGUUAAGUUCAGGGUGAAAGCUCCCGGCUCAACUGGGAGAGGUCCUUGGAUACUGGCAGACUUGAGGAGGGUAGAGGAGAGUGGAAUUCCCGGUGUAGUGGUGAUAUGCGUAGAUAUCGGGAGGAACACCGAUGGCGAAGGCAGCCGCCUGGCCUGACACUGACGCUGAGGUGCGAAAGCGUGGGGAGCGAACGGG
rnacentral:rRNA from 1 species